rnacentral:rRNA from 1 species
UACGGAGGGUGCAAGCGUUAUCCGGAUUCACUGGGUUUAAAGGGUGCGUAGGAGGGUAGGUAAGUCAGUGGUGAAAUCCCCGAGCUUAACUUGGGAACUGCCGUUGAUACUAUCUAUCUUGAAUAUCGUGGAGGUGAGCGGAAUAUGUCAUGUAGCGGUGAAAUGCUUAGAUAUGACAUAGAACACCAAUUGCGAAGGCAGCUUACUAAGCUGUAACUGACGCUGAGGCACGAAAGCGUGGGGAUCGAACAGG